ACACCUAGUCCAACCCAGUUAAUCAAAUUCUUUCAGCGCAUACGCAAGGCAUCAGCUGAACCUAAGAAAAUGUCUCUCUCUCCUGCUGAAGUAAAAUCAUUGGGAUCUCCACCAGCUGACUUGGAAAAUAAUGCUUUCAGUUUCAGUUCUCUUGAUAGCACUACAUCCUGUGCAGUCUCCACAGAUCAGUCUGUAACGGGGUUAGUGGUGCCAUCUGUGCAAGUGACUGAUGAAAGUGAUAAGCACGAGGAUGAUAUUGUCUCGAGCUCAAGCUCGAGCCUCAACUCUUCCCCCUUCUACAGUGUAAUUGGUGUGUCGUCAUAUGAUGUUAUGCCAACAGAAAACAAUGCCCAAGAAAAUCAGAAAAACACAGAUGUUGCAUUUGACCUGAAUGAGGAGGGGGAGGAGAGCAGGGAGAUUAGUGAUGGAAGGUCAGGGCCAUCACUGGAUAGUUCCUUCAUCUUCCAGGACAUCUCCAUUGCUUGGACAAUGACGUGCCAACAGUUCCGCAGCAAUUCUCAGUUCACUCUUUACCAAAUUGAGUAUGAAGCUCUUCACUUCUCUGAUACGGGUAUACCAGUUCUACGAACAGGAUGUGUUAAACGUCGUUAUCGAGAAUUUGUCAACUUGAUGUUACGCCUGGAAGAUAACUCCGCAUACAAAAAGCUACUAAAAGAUAUAAAGGGCCCCAAGCGCUGGGUGUCAUUACCAUUUAAGAACAUGGAUAAGAAAACAUAUCUACUCGUCAAAAGACACUGGAGCAGUUUCUAAAGGCCUUGAUACAAGUGGAGGCUGUGUGUAAUGGCCCAGAACUGCGGGAAUUCCUGGCUUAUGAAGGUGACUCCCACAUUGCAUUUGUCCGCAGAACUACAGAAAUCAAUGUUCCUCGCCUGGACAAGAUGCUGGUCAAAACCAUGUCAGGUGUCUUUGAUAAGCUCAAGAAUCUUCCCAGCCUACCUCAGGAGGUCAUCUCAGGCAUUCGUGGUCGUGAUAACACAGCUGAUAAAAAAGAUGAUGCUCACCUUCUUCGGGAUGCAGAUGGCAUAGUGCUGACCACGGAAUUUUCCCAACAAAUGCCUCACAGCAACCUUAUGAAGGACUUUUGUGAGAAAUUUGUCAGUGAUGUUCAACUAGAGGGUCUUAUUCCCAGGAGCCCUGCCUCUCCUUUGACACUUUUGCUACAGGAUGAGAGUUUAAAUCUCUCAGACCACAUGCUUGCUCAGGUGCCCAGACUGGAUAGCAGCGGAGCAGAGUCAUCAAAGCAAGAAGCUAGUGCCACUGAAGGUGACUCCGGUACAGGGAAUUCUGCAGAAGGACUCACAAUGUAUGAUGCAGGAGCGAGUCUACUAGUGCAGCUUCUUCCUAGUCAGCAUUGGUUGUGCCACGAGAGAGUCAUGAGAGGCAUGCGUAAUCUUCUCGGCAGAAAGAUAGAUAGGUGGCUACGCAACUCAGUGUCAAGCCUGACAACUGAGGAAAGGUGCCUGUACUACAUCCGCUUGCUCCGAGAAAACGUUUGGCCAGGUGGAACUUUCAUGUCAGGAGGGAGAACAGAAAAAUCAAUGGAGGAAAAACUGGCUACAAAGGCUGUGGCAAAAUGUCUCCUUCUGGAAUUCUUUCCAGGUGUGGUGCAGCACUUGCUGGGCACAGAGAGUGUGGACAGUGCAGUGGACAAAUUCUUGGGGUCUUUCCAAAACCGCAGACUAAAUAAGCACUUCCUCUAUUCAUCCCUGGAUAAACUUUUGGAAAAACUAUUUCCGGAGAUGUUGGACCCUAGCUUCCAGAGUCGAGUCCUUACAUGAUGCAGUGUUGUUGAGCCCUGGAUCCUGGGGAGUGUGCUUCACUGGCUUCCUUUUCCAUGAAAAAUGAAAUAGUAUAAAUCUGUAUCAAUUCCAGCCUUUUCUUUCUUCAAUCCUCUGGGAGUUCAAGUACCCAGCUGGGUCAACUGGGGAAAUACAGCGUGAGUGUUCUAACCACUCAGCUGUCUGCAUCCCCAAAGUUUUGACUAACAUAUUAUAUGAAAACACCUGCAGCAACUGUUCGGAUCUUUUGUGAACAUUUAGCCAAUCGUAUGCAAGAGCCUGAAGAGGAGUACAAGCGAUGUCCUGUCAAGAUUUGUUUCCCCUUUAUUCCACUAUCAUUUUCAUGACAACUAACAUUAAAAUACCUAACAUUAUUUAUGAGUAUUUUAUCAUAUUGGAUAGCUUGUUUGAAAGAACUGGUUGAAAGCAAGUGGGGACCAAUACAUAAAAGCUUUUGCUUACAAAGUGUAAUUGAGCAGCUGAUAAUUGACAUUCCGGACAAAGCCAAUAGUAUUCCAUACUUUUGGGGCUUAUCUUGAGCCAUUCUCUUCUCUUUGUGAAAAGUAAAUGCUAUGGAGAAGUUAAAAAAAAAUUACAUGUUUAUUAUUUCUUGUGGAAUAAAUUUUGGAUGUGAUAAGUUGAGCAAAAUUUUUUUUAAACAAAAUAUGUGGCUUGUUCAAUUUUCAAUAUUAAAUGUGUUGGACAAAGAACAUUUUAAAUGACCAAUUAUGAAGUUUCACAGUUCUGUUUAUAUGUGGGGUUUUAUGAUUGUUAAAAUAUUUUAGAGUUUAUGUUCUGUUAUAUAGUUCCAGGUUUUACAGGAAGAAUGCUGUGAUAAUGUAAAGGAAGUUUCAGAACUGUAAGAUAACCUGUCAUUAUUAUAGCAUGCAUGCAUGUGGGUCAUAACAUCAUUUUGCAUGUCUUUUUUAAUUUUGACAUUAUGGAAUUCAUAAGACACAUUCAAAAUGCAAGACUGCAUAGCAUAUACUUUGCUGGGUGUGUUGGCAGGCCCAAGAUUACUUCCUUGUUUGUGGAAAACAUUUUUGAGUUUAACAUUCUUCUUGUGCAGGAACCUUGUCACACAAUUUGAAUCAUCAUGUCUACUAGCAUGCAGCAGAUUAAGAAAACAGCACAGCUAUAUUCUGAUGAGAGUGCAAUCUUUUGUAGACUCAGCAUGCAUUUUUGUGGCCUAUUGUGUCAGCUUGAUGACAUUCCUAAAUAUCACUGUUUUUAAAAAGAUAUAUGGAUACAAAAACAAAAAAAAAUAAGGAUCCUGUUCAUGUUUCUUUUUUUCAGAAUAUUUUAGCUGGGAAACUGUGGAUUCCUGUAUAUAUUUGUGUAUGCAUGGAUCCAAAAUUUGGGAUUUUACUAUUGCUCUACCCAUUUUCACCAUUCAAAAAUAAAAGGCACAGAGCCUUCUAGGAAGGCUUGUAAUGUGUUGAAUGUUUACAUUC
rnacentral:misc_RNA from 1 species